GAUGAAGAACGCAGCGAAAUGCGAUAAGUAGUGUGAAUUGCAGAGUUCAGUGAAUCAUCGAAUCUUUGAACGCACAUUGCGCCCCUUGGUAUUCCAUGGGGCAUGCCUGUUCGAGCGUCAUUUGUACCUUCAAGCUCUGCUUGGUGUUGGGUGUUUGUCUCGCCUCUGCGUGUAGACUCGCCUCAAAACAAUUGGCAGCCGGCGUAUUGAUUUCGGAGCGCAGUACAUCUCGCGCUUUGCACUCAUAACGACGACGUCCAAAAGUACAUUUUUACACUCUUGACCUCGGAUCAGGUAGGGAUACCCGCUGAACUUAAGCAUAUCAAUAAGCGGAGGA
rnacentral:misc_RNA from 1 species